ACACAAACAAAAAAACACAUCCUCAAAUUCUAGAUCAUCAAUCCAAAUACUCAUUGAAAAACAUAUCAAAUCCCAAAAAAAAUUUCUUGAUUACCUUAACCAUAAUAGGCAUCUCAGUUUCCACAACCCUCUUAGCUAGAUUUCCAAAAGAACCCAUUUUUCUUUUCACACACAACAGAAGAAACAAGUUCCAAAUUUGGGAUUUGAAGUGAAAAAGAAAAACCACAAUGAAGUACUAGUCUUGUUGAAGAAGAAAACGAAAACGUCAACCUAACAAAAAGUAUUCAACUUUGCAACGCCACGCUUCACCAACCCAUCCACCAUUAAACUAUAGUACAAGUAAAUCUAAUCCAAAAGGGAAAAAGACGAAAACCUUUUAAUGUUUAUUAAUUUAACACAUAAGAUAAAAAAAUUGAUAAAAAAAAAUGAAACUUUUUGGUUUCUCUUUCCUCUUUGCGUUUGUUUAACGCUAAUUAAAUGAUAAAUUUUGUAUCUUUAAAGAGUGUUGAAAAAUGGGUAUGAAGAAAAAGUGUGAAAAAUGCUUGAAAAAAGUGAUUGGGUUUUCACUGAAAUCGGAGUUCCUAAGAAAGUGGGUUUUUGUGAAAUUUGUGUAUGUCUGUUGUCAUUGUCUUGGUUUUCAGUGUGUGAGUCUGCACAGACAAAACGACAGAGAGGACCACUUCAA
rnacentral:lncRNA from 1 species